AGUCGACUAAGCGACUUUAAAAAGGUAAUUAGGCUUAGAGCGUUUGACCCCGUUUAAAACGGGGUUGAGGUUUAC
rnacentral:ribozyme from 1 species